CUACGUGCCAGCAGCCGCGGUAAUACGGAGGGUGCGAGCGUUAAUCGGAAUAACUGGGCGUAAAGGGCACGCAGGCGGUGACUUAAGUGAGGUGUGAAAGCCCCGGGCUUAACCUGGGAAUUGCAUUUCAUACUGGGUCGCUAGAGUACUUUAGGGAGGGGUAGAAUUCCACGUGUAGCGGUGAAAUGCGUAGAGAUGUGGAGGAAUACCGAAGGCGAAGGCAGCCCCUUGGGAAUGUACUGACGCUCAUGUGCGAAAGCGUGGGGAGCAAACAGGAUUAGAUACCCUGGUAGUCCACGCCGUAAACGAUGUCGAUUUGGGGGUUGAACUUUAAGUUUGGCGCCCGUAGCUAACGUGAUAAAUCGACCGCCUGGGGAGUACGGCCGCAAGGUUAAAACUCAAAUGAAUUGACGGGGGCCCGCACAAGCGGUGGAGCAUGUGGUUUAAUUCGAUGCAACGCGAAGAACCUUACCUACUCUUGACAUCCAGAGAACAUUC
rnacentral:rRNA from 1 species